GAAGAAAUGGAAGAGAUGCUUUGGAAGUAAAAGUUGUCAAUGACAAGCCUGACAUCACCCAAAGGCCAGCUCUUUUUACAGUAAACCAGGAUGCAGCUGACAAGACAGACUCCAGUAAGAAAAGCACG